rnacentral:rRNA from 1 species
UACGGGGGGGGCAAGCGUUGUCCGGAUUUAUUGGGCGUAAAGAGCGUGUAGGCGGCCUGACAGGUCUGCUGUGAAAACUCGAGGCUCAACCUCGAGAUGUCGGCGGAAACCGUCUGGCUAGAGUCCGGAAGAGGAGAGUGGAAUUCCUGGUGUAGCGGUGAAAUGCGCAGAUAUCAGGAAGAACACCUAUGGCGAAGGCAGCUCUCUGGGACGGUACUGACGCUGAGACGCGAAAGCGUGGGGAGCGAACAGG